rnacentral:lncRNA from 1 species
AAAAAGACAUAAUUAGGAAACAAAAUGUAGCGCAAACAAACAAAAAUGUAAAGACAAGCUCAUCAAAGAACUGGCCACUACAGGAAGAAACAUUGAAACAUUUCAUUCAUGAGUGGGAUCAAAUUUGCUUAAUUCCUGCCAAGUCUCCACCAGAAAAGGAAUUUCCAACAGCCACUGGAGAUAAAGAUGAAAAAAGAUAAUCACAGAAUUGCAAGGGACCUCAAGAGAUCAUCAGGUCCAACUGCCCUGACAAAGGAAGUUCCCUAGAGCAAGUUGCACGGGUAAAUAUAUUUGUGAAAAUAUAUAAUAUAUAUUAAU